rnacentral:rRNA from 1 species
UACGGGGGGGGCAAGCGUUGUUCGGAAUUACUGGGCGUAAAGGCUCGUAGGCGGCCAACUAAGUCAGACGUGAAAUCCCUCGGCUUAACCGGGGAACUGCAUCUGAUACUGGAUGGCUUGAGUUUGGGAGAGGGAUGCGGAAUUCCAGGUGUAGCGGUGAAAUGCGUAGAUAUCUGGAGGAACACCGGUGGCGAAGGCGGCAUCCUGGACCAACACUGACGCUGAGGAGCGAAAGCCAGGGGAGCAAACGGG